AGGGCUGGUGUUUUGUCUUCACAUCAUAGAGACAGGAGAGACUACAGGUGAGCAGGGCUGGUGUUUUGUCUUCACAUCAUAGAGACAGGAGAGACUACAGGUGAGCAGGGCUGGUGUUUUGUCUUCACAUCAUAGAGACAGGAGAGACUACAGGUGAGCAGGGUUGGUGUUUUGUCUUCAUAUCAUAGAGACAGGUGAGACUACAGGUGAGCAGGGCUGGUGUUUUGUCUUCACAUCAUAGAGACAGGAGAGACUACAGGUGAGCAGGGCUGGUGUUUUGUCUUCACAUCAUAGAGACAGGAGAGACUACAGGUGAGCAGGGCUGGUGUUUUGUCUUCACAUCAUAGAGACAGGAGAGACUACAGGUGAGCAGGGCUGGUGUUUUGUCUUCAUAUCAUAGAGACAGGUGAGACUACAGGUGAGCAGGGCUGGUGUUUUGUCUUCAUAUCAUAGAGACAGGUGAGACUACAGGUGAGCAGGGCUGGUGUUUUGUCUUCAUAUCAUAGAGACAGGUGAGACUACAGGUGAGCAGGGCUGGUGUUUUGUCUUCACAUCAUAGAGACAGGAGAGACUACAGGUGAGCAGGGCUGGUGUUUUGUCUUCACAUCAUAGAGACAGGAGAGACUACAGGUGAGCAGGGCUGGUGUUUUGUCUUCAUAUCAUAGAGACAGGAGAGACUACAGGUGAGCAGGGCUGGUGUUUUGUAUUCAUAUCAUAGAGACAGGAGAGACUACAGGUGAGCAGGGCUGGUGUUUUGUCUUCAUAUCAUAGAGACAGGAGAUACUACAGGUGAGCAGGGCUGGUGUUUUGUCUUCACAUCAUAGAGACAGGAGAGACUACAGGUGAGCAGGGCUGGUGUUUUGUCUUCACAUCAUAGAGACAGGAGAGACUACAGGUGAGCAGGGCUGGUGUUUUGUCUUCACAUCAUAGAGACAGGAGAGACUACAGGUGAGCAGGGCUGGUGUUUUGUCUUCAUAUCAUAGAGACAGGAGAGACUACAGGUGAGCAGGGCUGGUGUUUUGUAUUCAUAUCAUAGAGACAGGAGAGACUACAGGUGAGCAGGGCUGGUGUUUUGUAUUCACAUCAUAGAGACAGGAGAGACUACAGGUGAGCAGGGCUGGUGUUUUGUAUUCAUAUCAUAGAGACAGGAGAGACUACAGGUGAGCAGGGCUGGUGUUUUGUCUUCAUAUCAUAGAGACAGGAGAUACUACAGGUGAGCAGGGCUGGUGUUUUGUAUUCACAUCAUAGAGACAGGAGAUA